ACUGGUACUCCGUACUCAAAG
rnacentral:miRNA from 1 species